UACGGAGGGUGCAAGCGUUAUCCGGAUUUACUGGGUUUAAAGGGUGCGUAGGCGGGCAGGUAAGUCAGUGGUGAAAUCUCCGAGCUUAACUCGGAAACUGCCAUUGAUACUAUUUGUCUUGAAUAUUGUGGAGGUAAGCGGAAUAUGUCAUGUAGCGGUGAAAUGCUUAGAUAUGACAUAGAACACCAAUUGCGAAGGCAGCUUACUACACAAUGAUUGACGCUGAGGCACGAAAGCGUGGGGAUCAAACAGG
rnacentral:rRNA from 1 species